rnacentral:rRNA from 1 species
UCCGGUUGAUCCUGCCGGACCUUACUGCUAUCGGGGUGGGACUAAUGCAUGCAAGUCUAAUGUCCUUAGGCCAUGGAAAGGAUUUGGCGCAAAGCUCAGUAACACGUAGCUAAUCUAACCUCGGGUUGGAGAUAACCCCGGGAAACUGGGAUUAAUAACCAAUAUUUGAGGAUAACUGGAAUGUUUCUUCAUUGAAAAGAUGUCAAAACCACGCUUUUGAUAUUGUCCGAGGAUGAGGCUGCGGCCGAUCAGGUUGUUGGUGAGGUAAAGGCUCACCAAGCCUAUAACCGGUACGGGCCGUGAGAGCGGUAGCCUGGAGAUGGGUACUGAGACAAGGACCCAGGUCCUACGGGGCGCAGCAGCAGCGAAAACUCCGCAAUGCGCGAAAGCGUGACGGGGCUACCCCGAGUGCAAUCCGCUGAGGAAUGCUUUUCUCUUGUGUAAUAAGCUAGAGGAAUAAGAGGAGGGCAAGCCUGGUGUCAGCCGCCGCGGUAAUACCAGCUCCUCGAGUGGUAAGGAUGAUUAUUGGGCCUAAAGCGUCCGUAGCUUGUUUUUUAAGUCUUCUGUUAAAUCCAACGACCUAAUCGUUGGGCUGCUGAAGAUACUACAAGACUAGGGGGCGGGAGAGGCUGACGGUAUUCCUGGGGUAGGGGUGAAAUCCUUUAAUGCCAGGAGGACCACCAGUGGCGAAGGCGGUCAGCUAGAACGCGCUCGACGGUGAGGGACGAAAGCUGGGGUAGCGAUCCGGAUUAGAUACCCGGGUAGUCCCAGCUGUAAACUAUGCAGGCUAGGUGUUGGUCUAACUACGUGUUAUACCAGUGCCGCAGGGAAACUGUUUAGCCUGCCGCCUGGGGAGUACGGUCGCAAGACUGAAACUUAAAGGAAUUGGCGGGGGAGCACCACAAGGGGUGAAGCUUGCGGUUCAAUUGGAGGCAACACCGGAAACCUUACCGGGGGCAACAGCAGUGUGAAGGCCAGAUUGAAGGUCUUGCUAGACAAGCUGAGAGGAGGUGCAUGGCCGUCGCCAGUUCGUGCCGUGAGGUGUCCUGUUAAGUCAGGCCACGAUCGAGACCCAUACCUCUUGUUGCUAACGACACUCCUAAAGGAGGUCGAGCACACUAGAGGGACUGCCAUCGAAAAGGUGGAGGAGGGAGUGGGCCACGGCAGGUCAGUAUGCCCCGAAUCUCCCGGGCCACACGCGAGCUGCAAUGGUAGGUACAAUGAGUUUCAACCUCGAAAGAGGAAGGUAAUCCCUAAACCCUACCUCAGUUGGGAUCGAAGGCUGGAACUCGCCUUCGUGAACAUGGAAUCCCUAGUAAUCGCGUGUCAUCAACGCGCGGUGAAUACGUCCCUGCUCCUUGCACACACCGCCCGUCGCUCCAUUCGAGUGGGGUCUAGAUGAGGCGUGAUCCUUUUGGUUGCGUCGAAUCUAGGUUCCGCGAGGUGGGAGAAGUCGUAACAAGGUG